GACGGAGGAUGCAAGUGUUAUCCGGAAUCACUGGGCGUAAAGCGUCUGUAGGUGGUUUAAUAAGUCAACUGUUAAAUCUUGAGGCUCAACCUCAAAAUCGCAGUCGAAACUAUUAGGCUAGAGUAUCGUAGGGGUAAAGGGAAUUUCCAGUGGAGCGGUGAAAUGCGUAGAGAUUGGAAAGAACACCGAUGGCGAAGGCACUUUACUGGGCUAUUACUAACACUCAGAGACGAAAGCUAGGGUAGCAAAUGGG
rnacentral:rRNA from 1 species